UUCUUUGGUUAUCUAGCUGUAUGACCAUGUGAAUCAUAAAGCUAGAAGACUAAAGCA
rnacentral:pre_miRNA from 1 species